ensembl:misc_RNA Metazoa_SRP Metazoan signal recognition particle RNA
GCUUGGUGUAGUGGCACAUUCCUCUGGCUCCUGCUAUUAGAGAGGCUGCAGCUGGUGGAUCUCUGGAGCUCAUGAGUUCUUGGCUGCAAUGAGCUAAGCCAAUCAGGUGUCCAUGUUUGGCACCAAUAUGGUAAACCCCUGGGAUUGGGGAACCACCAGGCUGCCUAAAGAGAGGUGAAACAGCCCAGAUUGGAAAAUAAAGCAGAUCAAAAUUUCUAUGUCAGUCAGCAGUGGGAUAAGACCCAUGAGUGGCUCCUUCGCUCCCAGCUUAGGUAAAAUCGGGAGACCCAGUCUCUG